rnacentral:rRNA from 1 species
AACAAGAUUUCCGUAGAUGAACCCGCGGAAGGAUCAUUG